CGUUUUCGUUUCUCGUUUCGUUUUUGUUUUUUUUUUUGUUUUUUUUAACACCAUUUAGUUUUGAAGGCCUACCGAAUCUUAAUGACUCGCAUCCUUAAUGAAUUACUCCUUUAAUAGAAAAAGAAGGUUUUAUCUUUUCUUUGUUCCUGGCCUAAUUGUAUUGAAAUAGUAGUUAUCUGGAUGAUUUGAAACUGAAAAGUCUAAUAGUGGAAGACUUCUGAAUUCUAGUGUGAAAACAUUUUCUCCAGAUGUAGAUGAUUGUUUACUAAUUCCCCCCCCCCCUAAGUAAUUUAUUAUUUGGUCUCUUUUCAUUCCUUGAUGAUGCUUUUGGAUUUGACUUAAGAAAUUUCUGAAAAUUUUUAAUAUUGAUUGAUGAAAUAUGUCAUGGCUUAAUGGAUAGAUGCAGAUGAAAACAAAUCUUCCUGGUGAUUGUAGGUGUUAUGAAAAACUUCGAAAUGGUAAUGAAAAGAUGGACUAUCUUCAUAAACAAUCCCCCUCUACAUUACCAUUCCUAGUUUCACAUUGACUAGGGAGGUCAUAUAUAUCGGAACCUCAGAAUCCACCUCAGCACCUUUGUAUUUCCAAAGAAAAGAAGAGAUUCAUUAAUUCUGUGUAUUC